rnacentral:lncRNA from 1 species
AAGAGGAUAACUCAUCCCAGCUUUCAUAAUGAGCUCAAGUCUUACAAAUAAACAUUUGGAAGUGAUGUUGAUUAGGAAAAUUUUGGACUGAAACAUUAAUCGAGUUGCUACGGGAUCACAGCAGUAAGU